rnacentral:rRNA from 1 species
UACGUAGGGUGCAAGCGUUGUCCGGAAUUAUUGGGCGUAAAGAGCUCGUAGGCGGCUUGUCACGUCGACUGUGAAAACCCGGAGCUCAACUCCGGGCCUGCAGUCGAUACGGGCAGACUGGAGUUCGGCAGGGGAGACUGGAAUUCCUGGUGUAGCGGUGAAAUGCGCAGAUAUCAGGAGGAACACCGGUGGCGAAGGCGGGUCUCUGGGCCGAUACUGACGCUGAGGAGCGAAAGCGUGGGGAGCGAACAGG